rnacentral:rRNA from 1 species
AGAGUUUGAUCCUGGCUCAGGACGAACGCUGGCGGCGUGCCUAAUACAUGCAAGUCGAGCGGAUCUUGAGGGGCUUGCCCCUCAAGAUUAGCGGCGGACGGGUGAGUAACACGUGGGCAACCUGCCUGUAAGACUGGGAUAACACCGGGAAACCGGUGCUAAUACUGGGAUAAUUCUUCUCUUCACAUGAAGGGAAGCUG